rnacentral:piRNA from 1 species
AGAGGUCCUGAGUUCAAUUCUCA